AGAGUUUGAUCAUGGCUCAGAAUCAACGCUGGCGGCGUGCCUAACACAUGCAAGUCGAGCGCGAAAGUCCCGCAAGGGAUCAGUAGAGUGGCAAACGGGUGAGUAACACGUGGGUGACCUGCCUUCGAGUGGGGGAUAACGUCCCGAAAGGGACGCUAAUACCGCAUGACAUCCUGCCUUUGAAGAGGCGGAGAUCAAAGCUGGGGAUCGCAAGACCUAGCGCUCAAAGAGGGGCCCGCGCCUGAUUAGCUAGUUGGCGAGGUAACGGCUCACCAAGGCAACGAUCAGUAUCCGGCCUGAGAGGGCGGACGGACACACUGGGACUGAGACACGGCCCAGACUCCUACGGGAGGCAGCAGUGGGGAAUUGUUCGCAAUGGGCGCAAGCCUGACGACGCAACGCCGCGUGGAGGAUGAAGACCUUCGGGUCGUAAACUCCUUUCGAUCGAGACGAAUGGCCUUCGGGUGAAUAGCCCGGAGGAGUGACGGUACCGAGAGAAGAAGCCCCGGCUAACUCCGUGCCAGCAGCCGCGGUAAUACGGGGGGGGCAAGCGUUGUUCGGAAUUACUGGGCGUAAAGGGCUCGUAGGCGGCCAACUAAGUCAGACGUGAAAUCCCUCGGCUUAACCGGGGAACUGCAUCUGAUACUGGAUGGCUCGAGUUCGGGAGAGGGAUGUGGAAUUCCAGGUGUAGCGGUGAAAUGCGUAGAUAUCUGGAGGAACACCGGUGGCGAAGGCGGCAUCCUGGACCGACACUGACGCUGAGGAGCGAAAGCCAGGGGAGCAAACGGGAUUAGAUACCCUAGUAGUCC
rnacentral:rRNA from 1 species